rnacentral:rRNA from 1 species
CCUACGGGUGGCAGCAGUGAGGAAUAUUGGUCAAUGGACGAGAGUCUGAACCAGCCAAGUAGCGUGAAGGAUGACUGCCCUAUGGGUUGUAAACUUCUUUUAUAUGGGAAUAAAAUGUUCCACGUGUGGGAUUUUGUAUGUACCAUAUGAAUAAGGAUCGGCUAACUCCGUGCCAGCAGCCGCGGUAAUACGGAGGAUCCGAGCGUUAUCCGGCUUUAUUGGGUUUAAAGGGAGCGUAGGUGGAUUGUUAAGUCAGUUGUGAAAGUUUGCGGCUCAACCGUAAAAUUGCAGUUGAAACUGGCAGUCUUGAGUACAGUAGAGGUGGGCGGAAUGCGUGGUGUAGCGGUGAAAUGCUUAGAUAUCACGAAGAACUCCGAUUGCGAAGGCAGUUCACUGGACUGCAACUGACACUGAGGCUCGAAAGUGUGGGUAUCAAACAGGAUUAGAUACCCUUGUAGUC